AACGAACGCUGGCGGCGUGGAUAAGACAUGCAAGUCGAGCGGGAACUUUUUUGGUAGCAAUACCGAAAAAGUUCUAGCGGCGAACGGGUGCGUAACACGUGGACAAUCUGCCUUAAAGUGGGGGAUAGCUCGGCGAAAGCCGAAUUAAUACCGCAUGUGAUGAGAGACGACAUCGUCUUGAAAUCAAAGCCGGGGCAACCUGGCGCUUUUUGAGGAGUCCGCGGCCUAUCAGCUGUUGGUGAGGUAACGGCUCACCAAGGCUAUGACGGGUAGCUGGUCUGAGAGGACGACCAGUCACACUGGAACUGAGACACGGUCCAGACACCUACGGGUGGCAGCAGUCGAGAAUUUUUCUCAAUGGGGGCAACCCUGAAGGAGCGACGCCGCGUGGGUGAAG
rnacentral:rRNA from 1 species